UAAAAACUUAGUUUUACAUACUAACACUGCCUUUUGUGUAUAUUUAAACAGAACAAAUGGUAAUUUAUUAUGUUCUCCAGAAACUGAUUUUGCAACAUUGCUAAACUAGCAGACUGGAGAGAUGCUCACAAUUCUCAGAUGAUAUGAGUGUUUCUCUGCAUGGGCAUCAGAGCUGCCACUGCUUGACAUUCCAAGAACUUCCCAGCUACAGGUUCAUCACCUUCUCCUCCCAGGAAAGACAUGUGAGAUUCUGCACAGAGACAGGAAUGUCGUGCCAAAGAGCCUGAAGUCAUGCCAGUGGUGGAGUGCUGAUUGGAACAGACUGGGUUUGGAUGACAUCUCUACUCAUCUGUAAUGGAAGCUGUGUCAAAAAGCAAGAACUGACCACCAUGUACAUCAGCUGGAACCUUUCUGGAAUCCACACAGUGUAAUAAUCCUUAGGAAAAGCUACCUGGGAUUCAGCUGUUACAAUCAGAAGGCCACGAACACUCAACUGGAACCUUUCAUAAUCCCAGUAAAAGGAAAGAUUCAGCUCUUGUCCUGAUUGCAGACUUUGUGUUGGUAUUUUAAAAUCUGUAUCGGUGAAUAAUUUCAAAUUUUAAAUCUACCUACAUAGUUGACAAAGACUUUGGACUGUGAUGAUUUUAAUGUGUAUCUAUGAAUUAUUUAAUACUCUUUCCUUCGAAGGGUAGAAUACAUUUUCACUUUUCUUAAGUGUGGGGUAAACUUAAUGACUCAUUUGUAAAAAAUAAAUUGAAGUAUGCAUAGAGGUGUCACUUCUAAUGCUAGGUCAUAAAAGACGUUUUGUUUUCUGCCCUGUUCUGUCUUUCUCUUUGAUCAUUCAGGCUGGGGGAUGCCAGCUGCCAUAUUGUGAAGACCCUCAAGCAUCCCUGUGGAGAGGUCCCCAUGGCACAGAAAUGGACUCUCAGCCCAAAAGCCAACAAAGAACCAAGGCCUCAAGCCAGCAGCCAUGGGAAUGGGAAUGUGCCAUCUUGGAAGCCAAUCCUGCAGCCCCAGUCAAGCCUUCAGAUGACAGUAGCCCCAGCCAAUAUCUUCACUGGAUCUUACUGAGAGACUAUGUGCCAGCAUGACCCUACUAAACAACUCUCAAAUUUCUGACCCUCAGAAAUUGUGUGAGAUAAUAAUUGUUUUUUGUUUUAAUAUGCUAAGCUUUAGGUUUGUUUGUUACUCCAAAUUAGACAACUAAUUCAGAAUGCAAUAUAUACACUCAGCCAGGUCAACUCCUCUGCUUCUUGAUGCCUGGGGAGAGUGGAGAGAGUGAUGGAUCCCCAUUAUUAUUGCACCCAGGGUACACUGGUCUGGGUUUAGAAUGUCUUGUGCUUUUUCAACCUUCUGUUCCCACAUUUCUCAGUAGUAUGUAUAUUAAACUCUCUUCAGUAACCCACUUUGAGUCUGCCAUUUUUUCCUGUUAGGUUCCCACCUGAAGUGGCUGCCAUGUAACAUCUACACAAACUCCAGCAAGUGGUGGUGGUAUCACCUGUGCUGUGAAUACCUCCCAGUGCAACCAUGCCUAUCACAUUGGAUGAUGCCAUUCAGAGCUGCUAGUGUCAGCAAAGCCAGGCUCCAGUGUCACCAGGGUGGUUUGCCUGCAUCACAGGUUCUUCGCCGACAUCACCAAUGGCUGUGCUGCCCAGGCUUUGCUCUCUCCAGUGCUCCUUUGAUAUUUGCGCGCCCCCCACCUCCUCCUAGGACUCAGAAGUAAGUCAUGUGAGAUGUGCGGGAAAGGAGCCAAGAGAAGGGCAAUUAGAAUCACCCUGAAGCAAAUUUGUCUUUCCAGGAUGUCCUGCCCAGGGCUUUACUGGGGUCUCACAUGAAUAGCUCUUGGCAGUGCCCCAGUGCACUAGAAAUGCUUAUAAAUUCCUGAAUCCCAAUGUGAACAGAGUUUGGGUCAGUCUGGACCCUUGCUU
rnacentral:lncRNA from 1 species